CUGCAGCCAUACAAAGUGAGAAAAAGUGAGAGAAGGAGGUGUAAAGGAAAAGAUGGCCAAAACUUCAGUGGAGGAGAGGUGAAAUUUGGCGAAACUUUCUUUCAUGGUCGCAUUAUUUGGAUGCUGAACUUUAGGAAAAGUGUCUGAAAUUUAGGCCCAACGCUUCGAAGAGAAGAGAAAAGUUCAGAAACACUAAGAAUUUGAUCUAUACUCGUUACAAUGACGAGCAAGGAUAUUGGUUGGGAACAUGAUACACCUGUGGGUGGGAAUAGAAAAUUUGUGAGAUGCAAUUAUUGUGAAAAAAUAAUGCAUUGUGACAUUACAAGAUUGAAAGAGCAUGUCGGUCAUGUCAGAGGACAGUUGAAGCAUGUCCAAGGGCACCAUGAGAAUAGGUGUAAUAAAAAUGCAUCUAAAGGCUGCUAAGGCUCAAAGAGUUGCAAUAAAAAAGAAAAAAAGAAGAAAUAUUGAACUCUCUGCAACAAGAAAAUAUAUAUAGUAAUGUCAACAUAGUUAGCGACGAUGAUGACAAAGAUGUCCUUGAAAUUGAUGAAGAAAGUAGGAUGGUGUUGGGAAAAAAAAAAAACAGAUGAAUCAAGCAAUUAGAGAGAGCCAAUACUUGCAAUUUGUCGAAGAACAACGAAGGCAUUCCACAUCUGGUUUACCAUUCAUCUGGAAAUGAGAGUGAUUUUAAACCAUAUCGUCCUUCUAUCUUGAUAUUAACAGGCAACUCCUCGUUCACAAGCAAGCCUUCUGCUUCAAAAACAGCUCAAAGAUCUUUGCAGGAAUCCGAUAGAAGGAUUCUCA